rnacentral:rRNA from 1 species
AACGAACGCUGGCGGCAGGCCUAACACAUGCAAGUCGAGCGGACCCUUCGGGGUUAGCGGCGGACGGGUGAGUAACGCGUGGGAAUAUGCCCUUCUCUACGGAAUAGUCCUGGGAAACUGGGGGUAAUACCGUAUACGCCCUUGGGGGAAAGAUUUAUCGGGGAAGGAUUAGCCCGCGUUGGAUUAGGUAGUUGGUGGGGUAAUGGCCUACCAAGCCGACGAUCCAUAGCUGGUUUGAGAGGAUGAUCAGCCACACUGGGACUGAGACACGGCCCAGACUCCUACGGGAGGCAGCAGUGGGGAAUCUUAGACAAUGGGGGCAACCCUGAUCUAGCCAUGCCGCGUGAGUGAUGAAGGCCUUAGGGUUGUAAAGCUCUUUCAGCUGGGAAGAUAAUGACGGUACCAGCAGAAGAAGCCCCGGCUAACUCCGUG